UGCACGGUGGAGCAGUCAGGUAGCUCGUCAGGCUCAUAACCUGAAGGUCCCCGGUUCAAAUCCGGGCCCUGCACCCA
rnacentral:tRNA from 1 species